UACGGAGGGUGCAAGCGUUAUCCGGAUUCACUGGGUUUAAAGGGUGCGUAGGCGGGCAGGUAAGUCAGUGGUGAAAUCUCCGGGCUUAACCCGGAACUGCCGUUGAUACUAUCUGUCUUGAAUAUCGUGGAGGUAAGCGGAAUAUGUCAUGUAGCGGUGAAAUGCUUAGAUAUGACAUAGAACACCAAUUGCGAAGGCAGCUUACUACCCGAAUAUUGACACUGAGGCACGAAAGCGUGGGGAUCAAACAGG
rnacentral:rRNA from 1 species